GCGCUCGUAGCUCAGCUGGAUAGAGCAACGGCCUUCUAAGCCGUGGGUCGCAGGUUCGAGUCCUGCCGAGCGCGCCA
rnacentral:tRNA from 1 species